rnacentral:rRNA from 1 species
UACGGAGGGUGCGAGCGUUGUCCGGAAUCACUGGGCGUAAAGGGCGCGUAGGCGGCGCGGAUAGUCGGCGGUGAAAGCCCGGAGCUCAACUCCGGGUCGGCCGUCGAUACUUCCGGGCUUGAGCACUGUAGAGGCAGAUGGAAUUCCGGGUGUAGCGGUGGAAUGCGUAGAGAUCCGGAAGAACACCGGUGGCGAAGGCGGUCGUGCUGGGCAGU